rnacentral:rRNA from 1 species
UACGUAGGGGGCUAGCGUUGUCCGGAAUCAUUGGGCGUAAAGGGCGCGUAGGCGGCGUGACAAGUCACUUGUGAAAUCUCCGGGCUUAACUCGGAGCGGCCAAGUGAUACUGUCGGACUAGAGUACAGAAGGGGCAACUGGAAUUCUCGGUGUAGCGGUGAAAUGCGUAGAUAUCGAGAGGAACACCUGCGGCGAAGGCGGGUUGCUGGGCUGAUACUGACGCUGAGGCGCGAAAGCCAGGGGAGCGAACGGG